AAGUCGUAACAAGGUUUCCGUAGGUGAACCUGCGGAAGGAUCAUUAACACGUAUCCAAACGUUAAACAGCCCCGGAAAGUUUUUGAUUUGGGACCUCUGUGCGCGUGAGAAAAACUGACAGCGAUUCAUAGAAGCGGUAGGUCAAGUGACACGGCGUCCCCAAGUGACCAGUGAAUGAAAGUGUCGCUGGAGCGUCAAGGACGACUCUUCAAGAUUGCUAGAGGUCGACCACCGACCGGCUUCCGUGUAUACCGAGCUAACACCGCUCCCUUCCGAACCCCACUUUAUUGCCUUGCCUGUAAGCAUCCAUACGGAUGGGCAGGCCCCCCGAACAACUGUUAACAAUGGAUAUCUUGGUUCUC
rnacentral:misc_RNA from 1 species